AACGCACGAGACCUGCGGACCUGCGGAGGGAUCAUUACCGAGUUAUACAACUCCCAAACCCACUGUGAACCUUACCUCAGUUGCCUCGGCGGGAACGCCCCGGCCGCCUGCCCCCGCGCCGGCGCCGGACCCAGGCGCCCGCCGCAGGGACCCCAAACUCUCUUGCAUUACGCCCAGCGGGCGGAAUUUCUUCUCUGAGUUGCACAAGCAAAAACAAAUGAAUCAAAACUUUUAACAAUG
rnacentral:misc_RNA from 1 species